UGACGGUACUCUAUAAGAAAGCCACGGCUAACUACGUGCCAGCAGCCGCGGUAAUACGUAGGUGGCGAGCGUUAUCCGGAAUUAUUGGGUGUAAAGGGAGCGCAGGCGGGAAGACAAGUUGGAAGUGAAAUCUAUGGGCUCAACCCAUAAACUGCUUUCAAAACUGUUUUUCUUGAGUAGUGCAGAGGUAGGCGGAAUUCCCGGUGUAGCGGUGGAAUGCGUAGAUAUCGGGAGGAACACCAGUGGCGAAGGCGGCCUACUGGGCACCAACUGACGCUGAGGCUCGAAAGUGUGGGUAGCAAACAGGAUUAGAUACCCUGGUAGUCCACACCGUAAACGAUGAUUAAUAGGUGUUGGAGGAUUGAACCCCUUUCAGUACCGCCAGUUAAACACAAAAAAUUAUUCCACCUGGGGGAGUCCGGCCGCACGGUUGAAACUCAAAGGAAUUGACGGGGGCCCGCACAAGCAGUGGAGUAUGUGGUUUAAUUGGAAGCAACGCGAAGAAACCUUACCAGGUCUUGACAUCGAGUGACGUACCUAGAGAUAGGUAUUUUCUUCGGAACACAAAGACAGGUGGUGCAUGGUUGUCGUCAGCUCGUGUCGUGAGAUGUUGGGUUAAGUCCCGCAACGAGCGCAACCCUUACCAUUAGUUGCUACGCAAGAGCACUCUAAUGGGACUGCCGUUGACAAAACGGAGGAAGGUGGGGAUGACGUCAAAUCAUCAUGCCCCUUAUGACCUGGGCUACACACGUACUACAAUGGCAAUAUAACAGAGGGAAGCAAUACAGCGAUGUGGAGCAAAUCCCCAAAAAUUGUCCCAGUUCAGAUUGCAGGCUGCAACUCGCCUGCAUGAAGUCGGAAUUGCUAGUAAUCGCAGAUCAGCAUGCUGCGGUGAAUACGUUCCCGGGCCUUGCACACACCGCCCGUCA
rnacentral:rRNA from 1 species